AUUACCUGAGGUGACACACGCCAAAAUGCAAGUUUGGAGACGCACCCUGUGAGUGCCGGGGCUU
rnacentral:tRNA from 1 species